rnacentral:rRNA from 1 species
AGGACGAACGCUGGCGGCGUGCUUAACACAUGCAAGUCGAGCGGAAAGGCCCUUCGGGGUACUCGAGCGGCGAACGGGUGAGUAACACGUGAGCAACCUGCCCCUGGCUCUGGGAUAGCCUCCGGAAACGGGGAUUAAUACCGGACAUGACCUGCUGCCGCAUGGUGGCGGGUGGAAAGUUUUUCGGCCAGGGUGGGGCUCGCGGCCUAUCAGCUUGUUGGGGGGGUGACGGCCCACCAAGGCGACGACGGGUAG